GGGGAAUAUUGCACAAUGGGCGAAAGCCUGAUGCAGCAACGCCGCGUGAAGGAUGAAGGCCUUUGGGUCGUAAACUUCUGUCCUUGGGGAAGAAAAAAAUGACGGUACCCCUGGAGGAAGUCCCGGCUAACUACGUGCCAGCAGCCGCGGUAAU
rnacentral:rRNA from 1 species